UUGGAGGGCAAGUCUGGUGCCAGCAGCCGCGGUAAUUCCAGCUCCAAUAGCGUAUAUUAAAGUUGUUGCAGUUAAAAAGCUCGUAGUUGAAUUUCGGGAUCAAUGUUUCGGUCAUGCCGUUGGUAUGUACUGAUAUUAUUGGUUUCUCACCUUCUAAAGAACCGUAAUGCCAUUAAUUUGGUGUCACGGGGAAUUAGGACUGUUACCUUGAAAAAAUUAGAGUGUUUAAAGCAGGCUCACGCUUGAAUACAUUAGCAUGGAAUAAUGAAAUAGGACAUCCGAUUCUAUUUUGUUGGUUUCUAGGAUCGAUGUAAUGAUUAAUAGGGAUAGUUGGGGGCAUUAGUAUUCAAUUGUCAGAGGUGAAAUUCUUGGAUUUAUUGAAGACUAACUACUGCGAAAGCAUUUGCCAAGGAUGUUUUCAUUAAUCAAGAACGAAAGUUAGGGGAUCGAGGACGAUCAGAUACCGUCGUAGUCUUAACCAUAAACUAUGCCGACUAGGGAUCGGAUGAUGUUAAUUUUUUAAUGACUCAUUCGGCGCCUUACGGGAAAC
rnacentral:rRNA from 1 species